GUCUUUUUGGUAUAAAUUUAAAGUCUAACCUGCCCAAUGAAAAUUUUAAUGGCCGCAGUAUUUUGACUGUGCAAAGGUAGCAUAAUCAUUAGUUUCUUAAUUAGGAACUGGAAUGAAAGGUUGGACGAGAAAAUAACUGUCUCUAAAUAAAUUUUUUAGAAUUUUAUUUUUAAGUUAAAAAGCUUAAAUAUUUUUAAAAGACGAGAAGACCCUAUAGAGUUUUAUUUAAUUAAUUUUUUAAAAUUAAAUAGAAUUUUUAUAUUAAAAUUAUUGAUUAAAUUUGGUUGGGGUGAUUGAAAAAUUUAGUUAACUUUUUUUAAAAAAAAACAUUGAUUUAUGAAUUAUUGAUCCAUUAUUAUGAUUAUAAGAUUAAAUUACCUUAGGGAUAACAGCGUUAUUUCUUUUAAGAGUUCUAAUCGAUAAAGAAGUUUGCGACCUCGAUGUUGGAUUAAAAUUUAAUUAUGGUGUAGAAGCUAUAAUUUUAGGUCUGUUCGACCUUUAAAAUUUUACA
rnacentral:rRNA from 1 species